UAUGUGAUCGUCUCUCGCAUAUCAAUAAGCGGAGGAAAAGAAACUAACAAGGAUUCCCCUAGUAACGGCGAGUGAAGCGGGAAGAGCUCAAAUUUGAAAUCUUAAAGGGUUUCCCUUUACGAAUUGUAGUUUAAAGAAGUGUUUUCUGUUGAGGUUUUGGUAAAAGUUCUUUGGAAUAGGACAUCAUAGAGGGUGAGAAUCCCGUAUUUGACCUUUACUUUCAACUUUGUGAUACACUUUCAAAGAGUCGGAUUGUUUGGGAAUGCAGUCCAAAAUGGGUGGUAAAUUUCAUCUAAAGCUAAAUAUUGGCGAGAGACCGAUAGCGAACAAGUACCGUGAGGGAAAGAAGAAAAGAACUUUGAAAAGAGAGUUAAACAGUACGUGAAAUUGUCAAAAGGGAAGCGUUUGACACCAGUGUUGUUUUUCUGAAAAUCAAUUAAAGAACUGUUUAUGCUAAGCUGUUUAGACUUUAUCAGCUAUCUGUUUAGUUUUGGGCUUUUCUUUAAUGCACUUUUCAGUUAACAAGUCAACAUCAAUUUCUUUUGCUGUAAAAAAGCUUGAGGAAGGUGGCUUGAGAUUCGUCUUAAGUGUUUAUAGCCUCUUGCCUAUGCAGUCGGAGAGAUUGAGGUCUGCAGCGUAGAUCCUUCGGGGCUAAAUGCAUUUGUGCUAAGUUAUAGCAUUUUAUAGACAACUUGUUGACUAUGAUUUGUCUUGUAGCUUACUCGCUUAUGUUAUUUUACCUACGCUUAGGAUGUUGAGUAGCGACAUACGCAC
rnacentral:rRNA from 1 species